UCGCCAACCCUAACCCCCUGAAAAGAAGGCGAUAUCUUUCUCCUCCUUUGACUUUCUUCUAUUGGUGAGGUAUCUUCUCCUUCCGCGCAUCGUUAUCUCAAUCGAUUUCUUGCAGUGCAUCUCUCAGUUUAAACGAGCGACCAUACGGAUCUCGUGUCACGAAAGGAUCUCGGCAGUCCAAUGAGUAGCAAGAAGCGGCCCUCCAUUUCCCAAGAACCGCUAGAUAGCGAGAAUAAUGAUUCGGUUGAGGAGGUUUCCGUGGAAACUGACAAAGAAUUUGAAAAAGGUGAGACCUUCAAUGCAAAGACUGCGGCAUCGGCAGCCCCUAGGUCCAUGAAUAUUAUGGAGAGGAGGAAGAAGAGGAAGGAAUUGGACAAGGCAAGGCACCGGCUUGAUGCUGAGAAGGAGCAGCCUAAAGCUAAGAUGCCUAGUGAAGGCGCUCCUUUGGCUGACACGCAGUCCGUGCCCUCUAUGGUUGCUGCCAACCAGCCUGGGUUGCAUGUAAAUGUGUUCAGGGAUCUUGCAUCUGCCGAUUCUUCGGUUAGGGAAGCUGCUGCCGAGUCUUUGGUGGUGGAGUUGUCUGAGGUUCAGAAAGCAUACGAAAAGCAAAGGGGGAAAGGGGAGGAAGAUGGGGCUCUUCAGCUAGAGGCUGAGAAGGAUGAUGGGUUGGAGGACUGUGCGCCUUCUCUGAGAUAUGCUAUUCGUCGACUUAUCCGGGGGGUGUCUUCCUCGAGGGAGUGUGCACGACAAGGUUUUGCAUUGGGGUUAGCAGCUGUAGUUGGGACAAUUCCAACUAUUAAGUUGAACUCAGUGAUGAAAUUGAUAACUGAUUUGCUUGAUGUUUCUUCUUCAAUGAAGGGUCAGGAAGCUAAAGAUUAUCUUUUGGGUCGCCUCUUUGCUUAUGGUUCCCUUGUUAGAUCUGGGCGAAUUGUGAAGGAUUGGAGUACAAAUACUGAUACAUCAGUUAUUAAGGAUUUUAUGAGCCACAUUAUUUCUUUAGCUGGGAAGAAGCGGUACCUGAGUGAGCCAGCUGUUUCUAUAAUUUUAGAUAUGGUUGAUAAGCUACCCUCACAAGCCCUGUCAAUUGAAGUACUGAAAGCUUCUGGUGUACACGACUGGUUUAAGAGAGCUGCUGAAGUAGGAGAUCCAGAUGCUUUGUACUUAGCUUUGAAGUUGCAAGAGAAGAUUCAAGUUGAUGAUGAAGUGUUUGGCAAGCUGCUUCCUCACCCAUUUAAUUCUGAGAACUUCUUUGGUCGAGACCAUCUGUUAUAUCUUGCUGAUUGCUUUAAGGAAUCAAGCUUCUGUCUGCCACGUGUUCAUAGUCUUUGGCCAGUAAUGGUGAACUUGCUUACGUUGGACAUGACAACUCAUUCCGAAGAUGUUGCAGUACGUUCAACAUCUGUUAAAAAGCAGAAGAGGAAUCGUAAAGGUAGCUCCUUUGAGGAUAUUGCCAAGAAUAUUCGUUGUUUUCAUGAAGUUGUAAUUGAAAGAUCACUUCUUCAGUCAUCUCAUGAUAGGAAACUUUUGGCGCUGGAUAUUUUGCUUCUUAUUCUCCCAAAAUUGCCUGUAUCUUGCAUUAAGGUUGUCCUAUCUAACAAGCUUGUCCAUUGCCUGAUGGACGUUCUCUCCAACAAAGAUUCCUGGUUGUACAGUGCGGCUCAGCAUUUUCUGAAGGAGUUACUAGACUUGGUUGGAGAUGAUAAUGAUCGGUGUGUUUCAGUCAUUACAUCCUUACAGAAACACAGCAGUGGUAUAUUUGAUAGUAUUUCCAGGACACAGACAGUGAAAAAUUUGGUUGCUAAAUUCAAUACGGUUCCAGGCUGUUUGCUGUUUGUGCAGGAUUUGAUUAGUUUGUUUGUGGAUGAAGGACCUAUUACAGAUGAACCAUCAGAUCAAAGUCAGACUACAGAUGAAAAUUCUGAUUUAUGCUCUUCAGAGGAUAAAGAAACUCUUGCUUCUGGGAAUAUCGAUUCCCUGAAGAAUUGGGUUAUAGAUACCAUGCCUCGUGUUUUAAAAAAUCUAAAGUUGGAUUCUAUUGCAAAGUCUUGGCCACAUACAGAAAUUGCGAAACAUAUAGAAGCGAAGUUUCGAGUGCAGACAGAAAUUACAAAAUUUCUAGCAGUUCAGGGUUUGUUCUCUGCAUCUCUAGGCACUGAAGUAACUUCAUUUGAGUUGCAAGAGAAGUUUAAAUGGCCAAAGGCUGCUAUAUCUAGUUCUCUAUGCAGGAUGUGUAUCGAGCAGCUUCAGUCCUUAUUAGAAGAUGCACAGAGAGGGGAAAGUUCACAUGCAUCAACUGGCAUUGAGUUUAAUGACCUUGGUUCUUAUUUUGUGUGUCUGUUAAACACUUUGUACAACAUUCCUUCAGUUUCACUUUAUAGGACCUUGACCAGUGAAGACGAGAAGGCAUUUAAAAAGCUGCUAUCAAUGGAAUCUAGACUUUCUCAAGAGGAAAGGAAAAUAAGGCCUGGCCUAGAUGCAAACAAAUUACAUGCAUUUCGCUAUCUGCUAAUCCAGUUGCUGUUGCAAGUACUCGUCCGUCCAGGAGAGUUCUCUGAAGUUGCAUUGGAGUUAACUAUAUGUUGCAAGAAGGCUUUUCCUGCUGCUGCUGAUGACGGCUCUUCAGAAGAUGAAGAAUAUGAUGGUAACGAUGUGCCAGAAUUUAUGGAUGUGUUGGUGGACAAUUUACUUUCACUUCUGCCACAGUCAUCCAGUCCAUUAUGUUUUGCUGUUGAACAGGUUUUCAAGUCUUUCUGUGAUGAUAUUACUGAUGCCGGACUCCUUCAAAUGUUGCGAGUUGUAAAGAAGGAUUUGAAGGGUCCUCGUCACCCAACGGCAAGCAGUUAUGGAGAUGAAGAAGAUGAUGAUGAUGAUUUUCUUGGAAUCGAAGAAGCAGAGGAGGCUGAUGAAGUUGGGACUGAUGACACAGUUGAUAGUGAUGGCCAUGCUGAUGGUGCUGAUGAAUUGCUUAGACCUGAGGAAACUGAUGACAAAGUUGCCAAGAAAGAUGUGGAUAUUAUGGGGACAGAGAUAGUCAAGGCAAUUGAUAAAGUUACCAAGAACGAAGAACUUUCAGCUUCUGAUGAUUCUGAUGAUGACAUGGAUGAUGAUGCGAUGUUUCGUAUGGAUUCUUAUAUUGCAAGGAUAUUCAAGGAACGGAAAAUUUCUGGCAGUGACAGUGCUCAAUCACAGCUUAUACCUUUCAAACUUCGUGUUCUCUCACUUCUAGAGAUUUAUCUGCAGAAAAAUCCAGGUAAACCUCAGGUCUUGAUGGUUUAUUCUUACUUGGCUCAAGCUUAUGUGAAUUCACAUAUGACUGAGGGUGGGGAGCCUCUCAAACAACGCAUUGGAGGAAUUGUGCAGAAGAAAGUAUUUAAAGCGAAGGACUACCCAAAAAGUGACGACAUACAGCUUCAUAGUCUUGAAAUCUUGUUGGAGAAGAGUCUAAAAUCAGCAUCGCGUUCACGGUAUAAAACUGUAUCUUCUUUUGCUCAAACCUCCACGUUUUGGUUGUUAAAAGUCAUGCAUUCACGGGACUUGUCAAAAUCUGAACUUGAGAGUGUGGCCAAUGAUUUUCAAAACGUAUUGGUUGACUACUUCAGUAAUAAGAAGUCUCGACUGAAAGCUGGCUUCAUCAAAGAGGUUAUUAGAAGGCAUUCGUGGCUUGGGCUUCUGCUCUUUGGCUUCCUUUUGGAGAAGUGUGGGACUGCAAAAUCAGAAUUUCGACAAAUUGAGGCCCUAGAUGUCAUAGAUUGUAUUAUUAAAACGUGUAUUCCAACUGGAAAAGGAGAGAAAGAUCAAGAUGACUCGAGUAGAGCUAAAUUUUUAAAGAAAAACUUGCCAGCGAUCUGUGAGCUGAUGGAAAAGCUGUUGACCAAGAUGCCAGAAAAGCAAUCACGGCGUGCAGAAGUGCGGCGGUUUUGCAGUCGGAUCUUGAACACAGUCUCAAUGCUUAACCUGAACAAGGCUUUUCUUAAGGUUCUGAAGCCAGAUGCACGCAUCCUUUGUGAGCAUCUACUUGGAGAGGCAUUUCAUCCCUUUAAGAGUUCUAGUUAAGUGAAGUGCUUGCAAGCCAUUCAAUUAGAUGGUGAAAGGAGGUAUCAAAACUCAUUCUCGUACUUAGGCUUCUACCGGAUGCGGCUGAAAUCAUCUGGAGGCCAUUCAAGAUGGGGUCCUAAAGCUUCAAUGCAAGUGAUUGUGGAGGAAGUCGGUAUGUUUGCUGCUGAAACCAUUGUUCAAAUUGGAUUCUUUGAAAGUGGCCGUUUAUUCAUCAGUUUUGCAGUUUUGGGAAGGAUGUGAUGGAACACUUCCCAAUGUAUUUGUGAGAUUAGUAAAAGAGAAAACGAAAGAAACAAUUUCGCCCAACAGCCCUAAAGCGAUAGUUUUACAAGCCUAUAUAACGUUGUUAUUUGUGAAACAUAUAUAUUUGUUUUUGAGUCAAGUAGGAUAGUGUUUGCCGUGUAAAAUUUGUGCAAGGAACUAAUUUUGCAUGCCUUGCUAGAAUACUUAAAUGUUUUGGUCAAUUUGCUUGUGCUGAUGCUCGAAAUACUCAUUCGUAGUGGUAUGACCAUUGUUCAUCUUUGGAAUCA